CCUACGGGUGGCAGCAGUGGGGAAUAUUGCGCAAUGGGCGAAAGCCUGACGCAGCGACGCCGCGUGAGGGAUGAAGGUCUUCGGAUCGUAAACCUUUUUCAGCAGGGAAGCACGGUCACUGAGCUAAUCAGCAGUGACUUGACGUUACCUGCAAAGGAAGCACCGGCUCACUCCGUCCACGCCGCCGAGGUAAUACGGAGGAUGCGUGCGUUAAUCGGAAUGAUUGGGCGUAAAGCCGGCGGGGGCGGUAUGUCAAGUCAAGGGUGAAAUCCCCGCGCUCAACGUGGGAACUGCCGUUGAAACUGGCAAACUGGAGUGUGAGAGAGGAUAGUGGAAUUCCAGGUGGAGGAGUGAAAUCCGUAGAUAUCUGGAGGAACAUCAGUGGCGAAGGCGACUAUCUGGCACAUAACUGACGCUGAGGAGCGAAAGCGUGGGUAGCAAACAGGAUUAGAUACCCUUGUAGUC
rnacentral:rRNA from 1 species